UACAGAGGGUGCAAGCGUUAAUCGGAAUUAUUGGGCGUAAAGGGCUUGUAGGCGGUUAUAUAAGUUAGAUGUGAAAACCCUGGGCUUAACCUGGGACGUGCAUAUAAUACUGUAUAGCUAGAGUAUGGUAGAGGAGUAGGGAAUUCCUGGUGUAGCAGUGAAAUGCGUAGAGAUCAGGAGGAACAUCAGUGGCGAAGGCGCUACUCUGGACUAAUACUGACGCUGAGGAGCGAAGGCGUGGGGAUCAAACAGG
rnacentral:rRNA from 1 species